AAGAAAAAUGAGAAAUUAGGGGUCAAAACACAAUUAAAAAAAAUGCACCAUGUAAGACCCGCCAGUCAAUAGCCCCGACAAACCAGAGCGUGUUGCGUGGUAAGACACACUUACUUGGUGCCACGCGAGAGGCCACGUUGGCAAUCUGCGACUCGCAAUCGGACGGCCCAGAUGCGAUCCCGCGCAUGUGGACAGUCCAGAUCCGUUCCCUCCUCAGGCAUGAUCGGAUGGUCGCGAUUAAACGUGAUGAACGAUCCAGAUUCAUUCCAUCUUUAAACGAAAUCGUACGGUCAAGAUCAAAUCGCAAUGAACGGUCUAGAUUUGUUUUCUCUUUAAAUGCG
rnacentral:lncRNA from 1 species